UAUGUACUUUAGGGAAGUUAGAUAAAUCCAAGAUGACCGCCGCACAAAAUUAUGAUUUCAGCAAUAUGGAUAUCGUGUCCGAGGUUCUCGAGGGUGCAGAUAACGAUUUUGUGAUCAUUUUUGAAAUCCAAGAUGGCCGCCGCACAAAAUUAUGAUUUCAGCAAUAUGGAUAUCGUGUCCGGGGUUCUCGAGGGUGCAGAGAACGAUUGUGUGAUCAUAUUUGAAAUCCAAGAUGGCCGCCGCACAAAAUUAUGAUUUCAGCAAUAUGGAUAUCGUGUCCGAGGUUCUCGAGGGUGCAGAGAACGAUUGUGUGAUCAUAUUUGAAAUCCAAGAUGGCCGCCGCACAAAAUUAUGAUUUCAGCAAUAUGGAUAUCGUGUCCGGGGUUCUCGAGGGUGCAGAGAACGAUUUUGUGAUCAUUUUUGAAAUCCAAGAUGGCCGCCGCACAAAAUUAUGAUUUCAGCAAUAUGGAUAUCGUGUCCGAGGUUCUCGAGGGUGCAGAGAACGAUUGUGUGAUCAUAUUUGAAAUCCAAGA